AGAUUGAACGCUAGCGGGAUGCUUUACACAUGCAAGUCGAACGGCAGCGCGGACUUCGGUCUGGCGGCGAGUGGCGAACGGGUGAGUAAUAUAUCGGAACGUGCCCAGUAGCGGGGGAUAACUACGCGAAAGCGUGGCUAAUACCGCAUACGCCCUACGGGGGAAAGGGGGGAUCGCAAGACCUCUCACUAUUGGAGCGGCCGAUAUCAGAUUAGCUAGUUGGUGAGGUAAAGGCUCACCAAGGCGACGAUCUGUAGCUGGUUUGAGAGGACGACCAGCCACACUGGGACUGAGACACGGCCCAGACUCCGUACGGGAGGC
rnacentral:rRNA from 1 species